rnacentral:rRNA from 1 species
GACGAACGCUGGCGGCGUGCUUAACACAUGCAAGUCGAACGAAGAGCGAUGGAGGCUUGCCUCUUUCAAUUUUAGUGGCGCACGGGUGAGUAACGCGUAAUCAACCUUCCUUUCAGAGGGGGACAACCGUUGGAAACCACUGCCUAAAACGCCUACGAACUAACCUCUGCAUCGAGGGUAGCUUAAAAGCGGCCUCUACAUGUUAGCUAUCACUCGAGGUAGGGAUUGCGGUUGAUUAGCUACUUGGAAGGGUAACGGCCCACCCAGGGGAUGGUCAGUAGGCGGUCUGGGAGGGUGAACCACCAAAAUGGGAAUGAGAAAAGGGCCAGACUCCUACAGGAGGCAGCAGUGGGGGAUCUUCCGACAUGGAGGGAAGGCUUGCGGAGCAACGCCGGGUGAGGGGUAGCGGGCUUCGGGGUGGAAAAGUCUGUUAGUCGGGACGGAAGGCCUUCAUGCGAAUAGCGAGAAGGAUUGACGGUACCGAAAGAGAAAGCCACGGCUAACUACGUG